UACGAAGGGGGCUAGCGUUGCUCGGAAUCACUGGGCGUAAAGGGUGCGUAGGCGGGUCUUUUAAGUCAGGGGUGAAAUCCUGGAGCUCAACUCCAGAACUGCCUUUGAUACUGAAGAUCUUGAGUUCGGGAGAGGUGAGUGGAACUCGACGAUGUGAGGUGGAAAUUCGUAGAUAUUCGGCAAGAACACCAGUGGCAAGGAGGCA
rnacentral:rRNA from 1 species